rnacentral:lncRNA from 1 species
GGGGGUUGGGAGAGGGAGGGGACAGGUGUAAGUACCGGGUUGGACAAACCCAGAGUACCCACCCUCUGCCCCAGAACUGCACCCCCCAUCCCUCCCCACUCCCACACAGAGACUGCCCAGAGGGUGAGGCCACAGCUUUGGGCCUAGCCUUUCCCUGGGGGCAUGGCCAACCCUGUGGGCUACUCUGAGCCUGCGGGGGGCCUGCAGCAGGGAGCAGGACCCCGUCUCCCCAGCUCAGCCAAGCCCCACGCGGGGCUAACCAGGCUGCCAGGGCCCCCAGCAGAUUACGUAAGGGCUUAUGCCGCCGCGGCUCAUUUGUCCGCCCCCCUCCCUCUCCAGCCUGGCGUGGCGCCAGGAGCCCGAAAACCCAGGGCUCCAGAAAUCAAUCUCGCGGUGACUGAUUAAGCCCUGUUUAGAACUAAUUGCUCUUUCGUGUGUGGGGAGAAUAAAUUACCUGCUUUAAUUUCGUGUCUUUAAAAUGCAACUGCAGGUAGAGAAGACUGUUAACCCUUUGCUGGGAGGGCCUGGCCAGGGGAAACAGAGUAGGCUGGGGUCCCCAAGGUGGGUCCAGGCCUGAGACUUUUCGGAGGUAUCACCCCAACUCCUCUUAGCUGCUGUGAACUCCACAGAGGGUUUGGAUUCCAGCAGGCCCCUCAAAAGACAUCCUUUUGCCACAGAGACCUCAGCCUUCACCCUCUUCAGUGCCCACCUUCAGGCCAGCCCAGCUCUCCUGCCUGCCCUUUGGGCUGCACCCUGCCCUCCUCUCCUGACCCACCUGCCUGCCCUCCAAGCCCCUUGCUGUUGGAGCCUUCUCAAAAUCCCCACAGUGUGUGGCAAAGUCCCCAUUCACACGCCAGAAGACCUAGGCUCAGAGAGAGGAAUGGCUUGCCCAAGGUGGCCUUUUCUGCUGUCCCUCGGUUCCUCCCUGGGCUUCACCUCUGCCAUCUCUCCAUACAUCCUCUUUUUAAUUCUGCUGUGCCAGUCUCCAGUGCUCCCCAUGUCACUGCCUGCUUUUGCCAGGCCUGUUCUGAGGACAGAGGAAGGCAGGAAGUCCACUGGCCCCACUGGAAUCUGGAGUAGAACUUCUGCUGGGCCUGCGGCACCCCACCUCUGGGGCCUCCCACCUGGUGGCCUCAACUUCCUGGUCCAGGGACCGGAGGCCCAGAGGCAUGAUGUAACUUCCCGUGGCCCCACAGCUAGGCAACGAUGCCCGGUACCACUCCAGCUCUGCCCAGCUCAUGGACCUGCUCUUAACCUGUGAAUCCACCCAGCCACACUCACAGCCACUGCUCUGUGAGGCUCUCCCUCCUGCCUCCUUCCCACCAGUCUCCUGGAGGAGGGGUCCUUCCUGCUGCCCAGGGUACCCUCCCACCCCUCACCCCCAGCUCCAGGCACUGAUCUGACUCCUCAGGGCCCCAGGCUCCCUGUCUCUGG